rnacentral:lncRNA from 1 species
AAAAUAUUAAUCAUUGGUAAUUUAGAAGCAGGCAGAUUGAUCUUGAUGAGAGUAUAAGUAAAUUUUCUAGGAACCCAUUUAACAUAUCACAAUUCUGAAAGUUGUAUUAAAAAUAAUUGUUAUGGUAUUUUUCUCCCUAAAAAGAUAUUCUUGUUUCUGGGGCAGGGGUAUUCCAUUCAAAUGCUGAAUUUCUUAAGUCUGAUUUAAUCCAAAUAAUAGUAUUUUUCAAAUUUGCAUGGUACUUUUAAGCUACAAGGAUACUCUGAGCUUCAAUCAACCCCUUCAGUUGUGGACAUUGAAUCUUAGAGCAGUUUUAAAGUUGCAGUUCUUCAAAACUUAAGGAAGAAUGGGGUUCUCUUCUUCAAAGGACCCAUGCUUGAGAAGGACUUCCUAGGGAACUGGUUUCCCAGAACUCAUUUCAUUGUGCUGCGUCAUCCAAGCAUUCAGAGGCUGCUGCAGCUAUGGCCUGAGAAACUUCUAGCAUCUAGACACUCUUUUUGAGUGAUUCUUCAGAAUCUUAAUUCCAAUAAUCAUGCCCUCAGACUUUGGAAAGAUGUCAACAGAGUAAGAGCAACAGAACUCAACACCGUUGCAAAUGACUGGAGUGGCUAAAGGAUGAGGAAACUGAAAAGGAAGAAACAUUUGUUCUUGCCCUCCAAAGUUGGUCUGCAUCACCUCAAAUGAGUUGCUUUAUCUUUCACAGCCAAAUAGUAGGUUUUUGAAAUCUCAGAACUUAUUUUUAUAUAAGUAAAUCCAUCCUGUUUUUUAGGUACAAAAUCAAAUUAUUCCAUCUUGAUUUCUCAUUCUGUCAUUAUCUACAACCUGACCUCUGAUUCUUGGCCCAUCUAGGGAUUCCUUGCUGAUUGCUGAAUUUGGAAAGAAGUUCCUGUUUCCACACAGUCUAUAAAAGAGUCCUAAUUAAAAAAAAAAAACUGGCUUACAUUUUGUAUUGCAAAUUUGUAGAAAUAGCUUCAAAAAUACUUGUUCUGAGAAAUUUUCUAGUGAAC